rnacentral:pre_miRNA from 1 species
GGCCCAAGUUUGAAGUAGAGUAGAUUAGAAGGAUCAUAUGACCCUAAUGAAGUACUCUACUUCGAGUUUGUGCCC